rnacentral:rRNA from 1 species
AGAGUUUGAUCAUGGCUCAGGAUUAAUGCUGGUGGUAUGCAUAACACAUGCAAGUCGAACGAGUGGAACUUGUUCUGCUAGUGGCGAACGGGCGAGUAAUACAUAUUUAACUUACUUUUACGAGGAGGAUAGCAGCUCGAAAGGGCUAUUAAUACUCCAUAGGUUUAUAAACUAAAUUAAAGAGGCUCCUCUGGGGCCUUGCGUAAAACUAGGAAUAUGUCCUAUUAGGUAGUUGGCGGGGUAAAGGCCCACCAAGCCAAUGAUGGGUAGCUGGACUGAGAGGUUGAACAGCCGCAAUGGGAUUGAGAUAUGGCCCAUAUUCCUACGGGAAGCAGCAGUGAGGAAUUUUUCACAAUGGACGAAAGUCUGAUGGAGCAAUACCACGUGAACGAUGAAGGUCUUCUGAUUGUAAAGUUCUUUUAUUUAGGAAAAAAAGCGCGCUAGGAAAUGAGCGCGCCUUGAUGGUACUAAUUGAAUAAGUGACAGCUAACUAUGUGCCAGCAGCUGCGGUAAAACAUAGGUCACGAGCAUUAUCCGGAUUUAUUGGGCGUAAAGGAAGCGUAGGCGGGGAGGUUGAUCCAUUGUUAAAAGCAUUUGCUUAACAAAUGUGUGCAUUGGAGAUCGCCUCCCUAGAGUUAAUCAGGGGGUACUGGAAUUCAAUGUGUAGCGGUGGAAUGCGU